GACGAACGCUGGCGGCGUGCCUAAUACAUGCAAGUAGAACGCUGAAGGAGGAGCUUGCUUCUCUGGAUGAGUUGCGAACGGGUGAGUAACGCGUAGGUAACCUGCCUGGUAGCGGGGGAUAACUAUUGGAAACGAUAGCUAAUACCGCAUAAGAGUAGAUGUUGCAUGACAUUUGCUUAAAAGGUGCAAUUGCAUCACUACCAGAUGGACCUGCGUUGUAUUAGCUAGUUGGUGGGGUAACGGCUUACCAAGGCGACGAUACAUAGCCGACCUGAGAGGGUGAUCGGCCACACUGGGACUGAGACACGGCCCAGACGCCUACGGGAGGCAGCAGUAGGGAAUCUUCGGCAAUGGGCGGAAGUCUGACCGAGCAACGCCGCGGGAGUGAAGAAGGAUUUCGGAUCGUAAAGCUCUGUUGUAAGAGAAGAACGAGUGUGAGAGUGGAAAGUUCACACUGUGACGGUAUCUUACCAGAAAGGGACGGCUAACUACGUG
rnacentral:rRNA from 1 species